GAUGAACGCUGGCGGCGUGCCUAAUACAUGCAAGUCGAGCGAACAGACGAGGAGCUUGCUCCUCUGACGUUAGCGGCGGACGGGGGAGUAACACGUGGAUAAACUACCUAUAAGACUGGGAUAAAUUCGGGAAACCGGAGCUAAUACCGGAUAAUAUAUUGAACCGCAUUGUUCAAUAGUGAAAGACGGUUUUGCUGUCACUUAUAGAUGUAUCCGCGCCGCAUUAGCUAGUUGGUAAGGUAACGGCUUACCAAGGCAACGAUGCGUAGCCGACCUGAGAGGGUGAUCGGCCACACUGGAACUGAGACACGGUCCAGACUCCUACGGGAGGCAGCAGUAGGGAAUCUUCCGCAAUGGGCGAAAGCCUGACGGAGCAACGCCGCGUGAGUGAUGAAGGUCUUCGGAUCGUAAAACUCUGUUAUUAGGGAAGAACAAAUGUGUAAGUAACUAUGCACGUCUUGACGGUACCUAAUCAGAAAGCCACGGCUAACUACGUG
rnacentral:rRNA from 1 species